AAUUUUCUUACGGCAAUCCCGUGGAGUUUAAAGGGAAAACAUUUAAAAUAUCAUUCGAGUUACUUGACCCAGCUAACACCUAUAGCAGCCACCAGCACUUCAAUGCAACCUUGUUAUGUCAACUCCAACAAUGAUAAAGUCUAUCUACCAAACUACUUGAAUAUUAACCCUGGGAUUCCUGCUUUAAUGGAUUUAUCAGCAAGGGCCAUCAAUCUUUCAACUUAUAAAGAUUCAUUGUUGUUUGACCGACUUCCAAAGAAUGUUUAUGACAUCAUAAUUGAUCCCACCGGACAUUGCAAUUGUUGCAAAAAUAAACUAUUUUGGUCAGUUUUUGUAAAAUCGGUGGGACAUGCGGACUUUGUAUCACUGGAUGGUGGUGUUACCACCUCGCUGCAUUAUCUGGUUUUCUGUUGUAGUUCUUUGUGUUUAGAUUCUUUUAAGUAGUUGUUUAUGCAUUGUUCAUGCAAUUGGCAAUGAGCCCUUGUCUAGCCACCAAGUAAACUUGCCCGAUACUGUAUCUGUGUACUUGUAAACUAAAAAAAGGGAUAAAAUAAAGCAAGAUAUCUUGAACUGUAUCACGACUUGUAUUGAAGAAGUUUUGCAAAAAUGCACCAAACCUACAAUUCAAGUUCUUUCUCUUUUUUAGUCAGUGUUUCUAUAUUUUGUAAGCUCUACAACGAUGUGAGAAAUACAACAGAUCACAUGGGAAAA